GCCCGCAUAGCUCAGUUGGAUAGAGCACUGGUUUCCUAAACUGGAGGUCGCAGGUUCGAUCCCUGCUGCGGGUA
rnacentral:tRNA from 1 species